CCUACGGGGGGCAGCAGUAGGGAAUAUUGCUCAAUGGGGGAAACCCUGAAGCAGCAACGCCGCGUGGAGGAUGAAGGUUUUCGGAUUGUAAACUCCUUUUGUUAGAGAAGAUAAUGACGGUAUCUAACGAAUAAGCACCGGCUAACUCCGUGCCAGCAGCCGCGGUAAUACGGAGGGUGCAAGCGUUACUCGGAAUCACUGGGCGUAAAGAGGGCGUAGGCGGGAUAGCAAGUCAGAUGUGAAAUCCUAUGGCUUAACCAUAGAACUGCAUUUGAAACUGUUAUUCUAGAGUAUGGGAGAGGUAGGUGGAAUUCGUGGUGUAGGGGUAAAAUCCGUAGAGAUCAAGAGGAAUACUCAUUGCGAAGGCGACCUGCUAGAACAUAACUGACGCUGAUGCGCGAAAGCGUGGGGAGCAAACAGGAUUAGAUACCCUUGUAGUC
rnacentral:rRNA from 1 species